rnacentral:rRNA from 1 species
AGUGAACGCUGGCGGUAGGCCUAACACAUGCAAGUCGAACGGCAGCACAGUAAGAGCUUGCUCUUACGGGUGGCGAGUGGCGGACGGGUGAGGAAUACAUCGGAAUCUACUUUUUCGUGGGGGAUAACGUAGGGAAACUUACGCUAAUACCGCAUACGACCUACGGGUGAAAGCAGGGGAUCUUCGGACCUUGCGCGAUUGAAUGAGCCGAUGUCGGAUUAGCUAGUUGGCGGGGUAAAGGCCCACCAAGGCGACGAUCCGUAGCUGGUCUGAGAGGAUGAUCAGCCACACUGGAAGUGAGACACGGUCCAGACUCCUACGGGAGGCAGCAGUGGGGAAUAUUGGACAAUGGGCGCAAGCCUGAUCCAGCCAUACCGCGUGGGUGGAGAAGGACUUCGGGUUGUAAAGCCCUUUUGUUGGGAAAGAAAAGCAGCAGGUUAAUACCCCGCUGUUCUGACGGUACCCAAAGAAUAAGCACCGGCUAACUUCGUG